CUCUUAUUCAGAGUGGUGGAGUCAGAAGGGACUACGAAGCCACGGCAACCCCAUUGUUAUUUGGAAGGUGCCGGCCUGAAGCGAGUUGAGAUACUCGGUCAAUAAGAG
rnacentral:ncRNA from 2 species